UUCCAUUUCACUAGGUGCCAUCAACUGCAAAUGCUGCCCUGCAUGGAGCUCCAAGUCUCUUGAUGCCUUGCCUUUGGGGAGUGAUGCCACCCGCCUCUGCUUCUUCCUCAAAGGUCACAUCCCGCUGAUGACAUAAAGGAAAUGGCCCUUCUUCAUUAUCUAUCGUGUUGUCAUUGUCAAGUCUGCCCUUGCUGUUGCCACUGCUGAUGAUAAUCGUUAACGAUGGCGAUGUUUAUAAGGAAGCUUGACUGCCCAAACAAUCUGUGAAGAGCAUCCAUGACUUUCUCUACAUGCCCAGGAUCCACCGAAUUAUCUCUCAGAAAGAAGCCUUGAAAACUGGCACAUUUGAGUUGUU